rnacentral:rRNA from 1 species
GAUGAACGCUAGCGGAAGGCCUAAUACAUGCAAGUCGAACGGGCAUAUUGAUUUCGGUUGAUAUGUUAGUGGCGCACGGGUGAGUAACGCGUACACAACCUGCCUUAUAUUGGGGGAUAGCCCUGGGAAACUGGGAGUAAUACCGCAUAAUAUUAUUGAGAGGCAUCUUUUGAUAAUUAAAGCUGAGGCGAUAUAAGAUGGGUGUGCGUCUGAUUAGGUAGUUGGUAGGGUAACGGACCGUACCAAGCCGACGAUCAGUAGGGGGUGGUGAGAGCAUGGCCCCCCGACCACGGGUACUGAGACACGGACCCGACUCCUACGGGAGGCAGCAGUAAGGAAUAUUGGUCGAAUGGAGGGAACUCUGAACCA